GGGAAGUUGGCCGAGUGGUUAUGGCGCUAGGUUUAGGCUAAGCAUACCAAUCUCUGAUUGGUCUGUCACAGCGAUCCCUAGUUUCGAAAGAUUCGCGAGUUCGAAUCUCGCACUUCUCA